UACAGAGAGUGCAAACGUUGUUCGGAAUUACUGGGCUUGAAGCGCACGUGGGCGGCAUCGUAAGUGUCGGGUGAAAUCCCACGGCUCACCCGUGGAACUGCCCGGCAGACUGCGAUGCUCGAGUGUGGUAGGGGAGAACGGAACUCCUGGUGGAGCGGUGAAAUGCGUAGAUAUCAGGAGGAACACCGGUGGCGAAGGCGGUUCUCUGGUCCACAACUGACGCUGAGGUGCGAAAGCCAGGGGAGCAAACGGG
rnacentral:rRNA from 1 species